GAUUCACAAAACAGCACAGCUAUGAACGCUUCACCCAACGGUUCUGUGUGUCACUGAGCAAUCAAUAAUACAGCAUCAAACUGUUGUGUGUGUUACGUGCUUCGGCAGAAUGAUCUGUCUGUACUGUAUUUAAUGAAGUGAGAGUGACCCCUGCUGGUGUCAUGUUGCAUCUUCAGACACAUCCCUUCCUCGUUUAAUAAAGGCUUCUCAAGAGGAGAGAGUGUGUCUACAGUUUCCCAAGUGAGGAGAGGGGAACAUUGCUGUGUUGUGCUGAACAACUCCCUUUAGCCGUGAUUUAUUCACAAUACAGCACAGCGUCUCGUACAUUAUUGCUGACAUAUUCCCCGGGGAAGUGCUGCCACACACAGAUAAUGCAGAUCUAGUGUACGGAUGAACUCCAGCAUCAUAUACACUGCCAUUCACAUGCUGGGAUCAGAAAGAUGUGUGAUCUGCUCUAAACAAGUCUCUUCUGCUCAACUAA